GGUUCCUCAUGGAUCACUCCCUUCUCUCCACUACAGCAUUGUCACUAGCAUCGCUGUUGGGAACAUAUACCUUCCAACUGUUGGGUUCCUAGGGUCCCAACUACCUUCUCAAUUUUUUCUUUUCCAGUGUGAGUUGGGUGUUCCAGAUAAAGAAAGUAACAGGGCAGAGCCCACAGACCCACAAGAACAUGGAGUUCAGGGAAUGACCUGGAAGUCAGGGAUCUUGAAGACAUUCCCUGGGGAGAAGGCCCCCAAAGUGACUCUAAACCAACUUCCCCAGAGCCAAAGCCUUUAUUGUGCUUUUGCCUUAUGGAUCUGGUUGUCUAUUAAAAUAUGGACAUAUUUCUCAGGCUUUUGCUAGGAAUCUCUAUCCUGGAACUGUUGUGACAUAUCUGUCUACUAAGCUAAGUGGCUUCAUGACUCAUAGCUCUGCUUCAUGGAGAGACUGGAAGGCUACCCAGCUUGAGACACCAUCUUCCGCUUUCUCCCAGGAAAGUUAAGUGUGAGCGUCCCACCUUCCCACUACAAGCCUAACACUCUGUUACAAAGAGAUCAGCUUGUACCUUAAUAGCUAUUCUCACCUGACUAGACUGAGAUGGUGCAGACGUGAGCAGAACCUGAGGAGGAAGAAACCCAUAAUUCUUUCUUCUCAUUACUGGAGAGGCCCACCACCAGAUACAG
rnacentral:lncRNA from 1 species